AUGACACUUAAGCACAGAAACUUCGGUCCAUUUGGAUCGUGGUCGCUACAUACGGUUGUUGCUAAAGUCUUCAAGCUCAAUCAACAUGGCGCACUGCAUAGCUUCAUUGCUGAGUGCAAAGCAAUUCAACACAUCUGUCACUGGAAUCUCGUGAAGGUUAUAACUGCAUGCUCAACUUAUGACCAAGUGGGAAAUGAGUUCAGGGCUCUAGUCUUUGAGUAUAUGGUCAACGGUAGCCUUGAAGACCGACUUCAUAACCACCGGUGUGGUGAUUUGAGUUUAGGUGCAGUUAUAUGUGUCGUGGAAUAG
rnacentral:rRNA from 1 species